CCCAGUCACACACGUUUUCCGAUCUAUCUCUGCGAAGAAAGAAAACACAAAGCAGAACUUGAUCCGCCAUCGUCAUGAGCGCCGUGAGCGGUAAACCGCAUCUCACCUUCUCGGACCUCCAGCUGUCCAUCGACGUUGGGUUCUGGGAGCAACUCCGGCAGCUCAAGCUGACCGAGUGGAGACUGGAGGAGCCGCAUGCCGCCCUCGCCGGCGUUAUCCGCGCCAACGUUUCAGACCGCGUAUUUUUGUCUCCAGCAAACCUGGUGCACCUGAGCGCUGGCAGCCUGCAUCCAUCAACGCUUGCCCAGGCUGCAGCGGAAAACGCUGCCGACGUUGUGAGCGUGCAGGUGCAAGGGACGGUGAGGAGCUUCAACUUUGCGGAGGAGCUCAAUGCGCUGAAUUUGCGGAACGCACUAAUUUCCAUCGCGGCGAAGACGCUGCUGGGGCCUGCUGUGGCGUUGUAUGCCAGCGCCGAAGAGGAGGCGGAUGCGUGGGGCAACAUGCCGUUUGCCACUCUUUGCAUGUUCACUUACAUUGAUGCAAAGGCGUACCGCUUUUUUCACUGGGAAGCUUUUCCGUGCACUGCGAUCGAGAGCGCUGUGCUAGUUGACCGGCUAGUGCUCGGUGCAUCGCCUGCGCUUCCGUUUUCCGCUGAGGCUGCGCAAGCGAUGCAUCGCCACGGGAUAAGCCUGCUCCGUCAGAAACCUGAGCGGGCCUGCAACCCGUUUCUGGCUGUAUGCGCCAACGACAGCGUAGAGUUCAUUUCUUUCUCGCCAACUGCCUUCGUCACUGCCACUGCAGCGAAAGGCGACAGUGUUGUCGUCUGCUUGUUCGACUUUUCCGACGCCGUGGGGAGCGUUAGUCUUCCGGUGCGGAACGUGAUCACGUGCCUGCGACUUGCAGUGCCGUCCCUCAACACCCUCCGUCUCUACGCGCUGCGGUCUGGAGGCACGGAGAAAAGUGUAUUUGUGAAGCUGGCGUUCGAUGCCCUCGAGGAGUCGCUUGUAACUUCUCUCCGAGAGCGGCUGACGGGCGCGUCGUUCGCCGACCUGACGCGCGUGCAGUGGAAGGAGGAGUUUCCCUCUCUAAAGGCCUCAGGGUGGCGCAAGAAGAAGAUCGAGAGCCUGGACCUGGGGGCCUUUGUCAACCCCGUCCAGCGGGCUGACAGCGAUUCUCGUUUUAACCUCGAAUUGAUGAAGUGGCGCGUGUUGCCGUCACUGGCGUUAGAUCAGAUUGCCAGGUGCAAAGCGCUUCUUCUUGGUACUGGCACCCUGGGCUGCAACGUGGCACGAAAUCUGCUGAUGUGGGGAGUCCGUAACCUCACCUUGGUCGACCGCGGCCGUGUCUCCUUCUCCAACUUGGCGCGCCAGUCGUUGUUCACCUUCGAGGCAGCUAAAGACGGCAAGACUAAGGUGGACGCGGCUGCCGAGGCAGUUCGCGCCAUCAUCCCAUCUGCGGUGGUGCGCCCGGUGCCUUUGACUAUCCACAUGCCGGGGCAUCGCAUCGAUGAGGCGAAUGCGGAUAAGGCGCUCGGCGAAAUUCGCCGACUCGAAGAGCUCAUCGCCGAAAGUGACGUUGUGUUCCUCCUCACGGACUCGCGCGAGGCUCGCUGGGUGCCGACCAUCAUUGCUGCUGCGACAGGGACACCUGUCAUCAACGUUGCCCUCGGCUUCGACACGUACGUGGUGAUGCGUCAUGGUGUGCCGGCGCAGACAUCCCGCUCCAACGCUGUAGGGGAGGACGACUGCCGUGACACGCUUCACACCCCCUUGGGAUGCUACUUUUGCAGCGACAUCAUAGCACCGACAGACAGCCUCAGCUUCCGUGCGCUGGAUGAGCAAUGUACGGUUACUCGACCAGCGGUGUCGUCCAUUGCGUCGGCAAUUGCGGUCGAGCUGUUGGCCGAGUUGUACCAGCACCCCAGUGGCUUUCGGUGCCCAGCCUAUCGUGAGGCAGCCACUGGUGAAAGUGAUCAGGGGAGGUGCCGCCUCGGGGUCAUCCCGCAGCAGAUCCGCGGCAGCGUCUUCUCACACACCAUGCACCACCUGUGUGGUGAGCGGAACCCUUUCUGCACUGCUUGCGCCGACGCGCUUUUGCGUGCGUACAGGGAAGGGGGGAGCGAGUUUCUCCUGCAGUGCGUCAACAGCCCGUCGUUUAUAGAGGAGGUCUGUGGGGUAAAGGCGCUGAAGGCAAAGUGGGAGGCGGGGAUGGACGCGACCGGCUGGAGCUCUGACGAGGAGUUGGCCGACUAGGACACUACUCUCUCCGUUUCCCUCUCCUCGAGUCUGUAUGCGGGCAACCAUGUCUUGAGAUCAGGCACACAAGUCGUCCGUGCGCCUCGCGAGGUUUUCUUUGUUUUUUUUUUUUUUUUGCCCCUUUUCCUUUGUGCGUUUCUUCUUCGCAACAAAACUCUUGUGUGCUGUGUUCGUUCAUCCUCUACUGCUGAUCGAUGCGGUCACCGCAUCGAAUUGCCG
rnacentral:misc_RNA from 1 species